CUUGCCUACGCCACCAGCUCCAACAACGACAAGCUUAUAUUCUGUCAUUUUUAGCAGCCCUGGUAAGGAGAAAAAAAGAAAUCAAGUGGUGAUAUCAAGGAAUAUUGGCUGCAAGAUCUGGGUCUUGACUGGCAAACAGCAUGCAGGCAGGAAGUGAAGAGACACAAAGAGUCUGAACCUACCCUGUAAAGCCCUGGCUCAUGAAGCCUUAUGGAGGGAGUGUUACUGACCUGCAGAAGCUGGCUUUCAACUACCGCCUCAGCAGUUACAGGAUGGCCGUGAAAUGUGCAUUUGGCUGACUGAAAGGACGAUGGAGGGCGCUUACAUGCCAGCUCAAGAUGGAUCAAUAAAAUCUACUGGCCUUUAUUGUGGUAGCCUGCUUGUUGCACAAUAUCUGACAGCCGUGGAGAGGUUUUCAAGGACUCGUGGGAAGAAGAAGCGCAACAGGCAGUGGCCAGACAAUAGAGUUGUGGGGCAGCAGCAGUACAGGGACCAAGGAGAUAUCCUCAAGGAGAGGCUGGUCGGACGGACCUUGCGUGUGAUUAUCUGGCAAGAUAUAUUGCUGACAACAACCCCUAGGAGUGCUUUGUUCUAACAUAAAAAUACAUUCUUUUUUUACACUUUAAA